UACGUAGGUGGCAAGCGUUAUCCGGAUUUACUGGGUGUAAAGGGCGUGUAGGCGGGACUGCAAGUCAGGUGUGAAAAUUAUGGGCUCAACCCAUAACCUGCAUUUGAAACUGUAGUUCUUGAGUGAUGGAGAGGCAGGCGGAAUUCCGUGUGUAGCGGUGAAAUGCGUAGAUAUACGGAGGAACACCAGUGGCGAAGGCGGCCUGCUGGACAUUAACUGACGCUGAGGCGCGAAAGCGUGGGGAGCAAACAGG
rnacentral:rRNA from 1 species